CCCGUCCUUUUGUUUGGUUUCUACUUUCUAUCACCUCUCUCUCUCUCUCUCUCCCUCUCUCGCAGUUGGCGAUGGCUCUCGCCACCUCCCCUUGGUUUCGCCAAAGCUCGUGCCUUCUCUCCUGAGAUCGAUGCCAUCUCUCAUUCCCUUCGUCAGCUCUUCUCCCCUCCCAAAACCUUUCGCCAUCCUCUUCGACCCGUCUCCUCCUUCCCAAAAUCGCAUAUUUUCUCGUUAAAAAUCGCUCUUUUUUCUCUCGCUGUUUCUUAGUCCGCUCUUUGAGAUCUUGAAUCCCUUCUUGGCCUCUUCUCCUCUCUCAACUUCGAUCGGAACGUUCUCGAGUUCUAGCUUCUGGCCGCUCCGCUUUUGGAGCUUCUCUCCUCCCUUAUUCCGGCUUUGCUCUGUUCUUCUCCAAUGGCGGGCGCCGCCGUGGCCUCGCCGCUGUGCACGUGGCUGGUGGCGGCGUGCAUGACGGUGGCGUGCGACAAGGAGCGGCCGCUGGGGCCGGGGAGUGCGUCCCCCCGGCGGAGGUGGCGGAGGGCGUCGCUCUCCGGCGGCGUGGGCCGGGGUUCGCCGAGGCGGCUGAUCUCGGCCUUCUGUGGGGCGGGGAUCCAGGGGUUGAUGAGCUCGUGCCUAGCCUUCGAGCCCUGCGCCGAGUUCUACAGCUCGAGAAAUGGGUCGGCGUUCUUUGGGGGGGAUGGCUUCUCUCUGCUUGGGCGGCAGAAUGCUGAGACUACUCGAAGGCAGCGAAGGGGUGCCCGUUCUUCUCCUUCUUCUGUUGCAGGAAAAGUCAUGUCCAUUGCUGUGCAGCCUGAAAAGAAGGUUGCAGAGAAAGAGAGAACCCAAACCAAACAGCGGAGGGUUGUUGUGACGGGGAUGGGUGUGGUGACUCCACUAGGCCAUGAUCCAGAUCAUUUCUAUGAAGAGCUCCUCAAGGGUGUUAGUGGCAUAAGUGAAAUAGAAACAUUCGACUGUUCCAGUUAUCCAACGAGGAUUGCAGGAGAAAUUAAAUCUUUUUCCUCGGAUGGAUGGGUGGCACCAAAACUAUCCAAAAGGAUGGACAAGUUUAUGCUUUACUUACUUACUGCUGGCAAGAAAGCAUUGGAAAAUGGUGGACUUACAGAAGAGGCUAUGAGUUGGUUGGAUAAGGAAAGAUGUGGAGUUCUCAUUGGGUCUGCAAUGGGUGGAAUGAAAGUUUUUAAUGAUGCAAUUGAGGCUUUAAGGAUCUCGUACAAGAAGAUGAACCCCUUUUGUGUACCCUUUGCGACUACGAAUAUGGGCUCUGCAAUGCUUGCAAUGGAUCUAGGUUGGAUGGGCCCAAACUAUUCUAUUUCUACUGCAUGUGCAACUAGCAACUUCUGUAUUUUGAAUGCAGCAAACCAUAUUAUAAGAGAUGAAGCUGAUGUGAUGCUUUGUGGUGGCUCUGAUGCAGCAAUUAUACCAAUUGGAUUGGGGGGUUUUGUGGCAUGCGGAGCACUUUCACAAAGGAACAGUGAUCCAGUGAAAGCUUCUCGCCCCUGGGAUGUUGAUUGUGAUGGAUUUGUUAUGGGGGAAGGGGCUGGCGUGCUUUUGUUAGAAGAACUGGAGCAUGCUAAGCAAAGAGGAGCAGAGAUCUAUGCUGAGUUUCUAGGAGGAAGCUUCACCUGUGAUGCUUACCACAUGACAGAGCCACAUCCUGAAGGAACAGGCAUCCUUCUUUGCAUUGAGAAGGCGCUAGCAGAAUCAGGAGUAGCCAGAGAGGAUGUCAAUUAUGUAAAUGCUCAUGCAACUUCAACACCAUCUGGUGAUUUAAAAGAAUAUCAAGCUCUAAUUCACUGUUUUGGCCAGAAUCCAGAGCUGAGAGUGAACUCGACAAAAUCUAUGAUUGGUCAUCUACUAGGAGCUGCCGGUGCGGUGGAAGCCAUUGCUGCAGUACAAGCAAUUCGAACAGGGUGGGUUCAUCCAAACGUUAAUCUAGACAACCCAGAUGAAAAUGUGGCUUAAAAGCCAUUUGUCACGAUUGGAGCCUCUUGGAAGUUGACUUAAAGAUGUUGAUUCAGGAUGUGAAUAAGCUGGUGGGCUCAAAGAAGGAAAGAUUGGAUGUGAAGGUGGCCCUGUCAAACUCUUUUGGCUUUGGUGGCCACAACUCGUCUAUCCUGUUUGCACCAUACAAAUAAGCAUCAGCUAUGGGCCUACAAAAGCAUCAAGGUCAUCUUACAUGUAAUUUGUAUCAGAAAUGACUGUGUGGUGCUUAUGUUUUUAUUUGGCACCAACAUCUUUAUCAUAUGGAAUUGGUCUAGAUCCGUUAUAGCUCAUAAUAGAAUGGUAUAUAGUGCACUACUUUCCAUUUGCUGCACUUGGGGCUGCUAUUGGGUCGGGUCGGAUGUGGGUUUAAUAAACCUGGACCUAGACUUGUUGUUGUUUUGGGUCUCUAAAUUUUGUCCCAGAUUCAGCCGCUAAGGAUCUUGUCGGGUUUUAUUUAAAAUAAUAAAAAUAUCAUAAAUUCAUUGAGUCUUGCGGUCGUUGGUAUAUUUAGGUUCCUAUUGGUUAGUGAACUAUGUAUAUAAUAAAGGGAAUAACAUUUGUAAAAUUGUGAUUAUCUUAGUAUAUUAAUCUAUUUGACUUUUGUUGACUCA